UUAAAUUGAAGAGUUUGAUCAUGGCUCAGAUUGAACGCUGGCGGCAGGCCUAACACAUGCAAGUCGAACGGUAACAGGAAGAAGCUUGCUUCUUUGCUGACGAGUGGCGGACGGGUGAGUAAUGUCUGGGAAACUGCCUGAUGGAGGGGGAUAACUACU
rnacentral:rRNA from 1 species